rnacentral:rRNA from 1 species
GGGAUGUUUGAGGCAGAUUUGUUUCCGUCGUUUUGAGGCCAGCUUGCUGGUACCCAAACGGUGUUAGCAGUUUUUUGUCUUGGGCAUUUGAGUAUGGCUCACGUGUAUUUAUUGGACAGAUCUGAGUGUAAGUUACGGACGCAUGCGACACGUGCUUUUCAAUUAGUUCGGUCCAGUUAAUGCUCUCGUACUCGUUCCCCAUGUAAAAGCCGGUCAUCUAUCCGACCCGUCUUGCAACACGGACCAAGGAGUUUAUCGUGUGCGCAAGUUUUUGGGUGUUAAAAACUUAAAAGCGAAAUGAAAGUAAAUGACUCUUUAGAGUCUGAUGUGCGAUCUUGUAAAAAAGUGUAGCAUGGCCCCAUUCUAACUGUUUACAGUAGGGUGGCGGAAGAGCGUACGCGGUGAGACCCGAAAGAUGGUGAACUAUUCCUGAGCAGGACGAAGCCAGAGGAAUGGAAGUCCGAAGCGGUUACUCUGG